rnacentral:tRNA from 1 species
UGUCUAGUGGUGUAGCGGUUAUCACGCUUGCUUUGCACGCAGGAGGUCGCCGGUCCGAGCCUGGCCGAGAUCA